GUGCUCGAUUCGGCAGCACAUAUCCUAAAAUUGGAACGAUACGUAGAAGAUUAGCACGGCCCCUGCACAAGGAUGACAGGCAAAUUCACGAGGCUUUUCCUAUUUUU
rnacentral:snRNA from 1 species